rnacentral:ncRNA from 1 species
AUAAGACGUAGUAACUGACGACAUAAGUGGAACAAACCACGAGGGAGCUGCGCUGAAUAAAAAUAGCCGGUCGUCUGGGCAGAGACA